rnacentral:rRNA from 1 species
UACGUAGGGUGCGAGCGUUGUCCGGAAUUAUUGGGCGUAAAGAGCUCGUAGGCGGCUUGUCGCGUCGGAUGUGAAAGCCCGGGGCUUAACUCCGGGUCUGCAUUCGAUACGGGCAGGCUAGAGUUCGGUAGGGGAGAUCGGAAUUCCUGGUGUAGCGGUGAAAUGCGCAGAUAUCAGGAGGAACACCGGUGGCGAAGGCGGAUCUCUGGGCCUUGCCUGACGCUGAGGCGCGAAAGCUAGGGGAGCGAACAGG